GACAGAGGGUGCGAACGUUGUUCGGAAUUACUGGGCGUAAAGCGCGUGUAGGCGGCCGCGUGUGUCGGGCGUGAAAUCCCACGGCUCAACCGUGGAAGUGCACUCGAAACUGCGCAGCUAGAGUCCUGGAGAGGAAGGUGGAAUGCUUGGUGUAGAGGUGAAAUUCGUAGAUAUCAAGCGGAACACCGGUGGCGAAGGCGGCCUUCUGGACAGUGACUGACGCUGAGACGCGAAAGCGUGGGGAGCAAACAGG
rnacentral:rRNA from 1 species